UACAGAGGGGGCAAGCGUUGUUCGGAAUUACUGGGCGUAAAGGGCGCGUAGGCGGCCUUCUAAGUCGAACGAUCGGAAAUCCCCGGGCUCAACCCGGGAACUGCGUCCGAUACUGGAAGGCUUGAAUCCGGGAGAGGGAUGCGGAAUUCCAGGUGUAGCGGUGAAAUGCGUAGAUAUCUGGAGGAACACCGGUGGCGAAGGCGGCAUCCUGGACCGGCAUUGACGCUGAGGCGCGAAAGCCAGGGGAGCAAGCGGGAUUAGAUGACCCUA
rnacentral:rRNA from 1 species